rnacentral:rRNA from 1 species
UACGGAGGGGGCUAGCGUUGUUCGGAAUUACUGGGCGUAAAGCGCACGUAGGCGGAUCAGAAAGUUGGGGGUGAAAUCCCGGGGCUCAACCUCGGAACUGCCUUCAAAACUAUUGGUCUUGAGUUCGAGAGAGGUGAGUGGAAUUCCGAGUGUAGAGGUGAAAUUCGUAGAUAUUCGGAGGAACACCAGUGGCGAAGGCGGCUCACUGGCUCGACACUGACGCUGAGGUGCGAAAGCGUGGGGAGCAAACAGG